rnacentral:tRNA from 1 species
GUCCCAGUGGCUCAAUGGUCUUCGAGCUCGCCUUGUAAGCAGAAGGUCCUGGGUUCGAACCCCGGUUGGUGCU